rnacentral:rRNA from 1 species
CCUACGGGUGGCAGCAGUGAGGAAUAUUGGUCAAUGGACGAGAGUCUGAACCAGCCAAGUAGCGUGAAGGAUGACUGCCCUAUGGGUUGUAAACUUCUUUUAUAAAGGAAUAAAACGAGGCACGUGUGCCUUUUUGCAUGUACUUUAUGAAUAAGGAUCGGCUAACUCCGUGCCAGCAGCCGCGGUAAUACGGAGGAUCCGAGCGUUAUCCGGAUUUAUUGGGUUUAAAGGGAGCGUAGAUGGGUUGUUAAGUCAGUUGUGAAAGUUUGCGGCUCAACCGUAAAAUUGCAAUUGAUACUGGCAGUCGUGAGUACAAUUGAGGUAGGCGGAAUUCGUGGUGUAGCGGUGAAAUGCUUAGAUAUCACGAAGAACCCCGAUUGCGAAGGCAGCUUACUAAACUGUGACUGACAUUGAUGCUCGAAAGUGUGGGUAUCAAACAGGAUUAGAUACCCCUGUAGUC